CGGUCCCUCCCUAGUCGCCCACUUCCGCUUCCGGUCGGCGCACCACUGCCUUGGUUUCUUAUGCGAUGGUGAGUAGGGAAAGGGACGUGAGUGUUCUUGGAGGUCUUUGUUCCGGCCGCAGGCACAGGGGCCAGAUCUCAAGGAUCUGAGGGGGAAAGGGCGGCGAAUGGCGGAGGGUCGGAACCAGGGAAUUUCAACGAGCUCGGCUUGGCGAAGGAAGGGUUUGAGGAAGCGGGUCGCCGAGCGUCCCGGGGUGUGGGGGGAUGGGGGGCGGGGCCCGGGCCGGCAGCCCUUGGUACUCCUCAGGCUCGGAAGGAGCAGUUUGAGGCCGGCAGCUCUGACUCUGAGACGGGCAUCUCCCGUUUGGGAGACUCCAAUCCAGGCAGUCGCGGAUUGAUGGUAUCUUGAAUUCUUUCACGGUAGCCACCCACCCACUUAUGUACUAAUUUCAGAGAUUUCUGUCUGUGAAGGCAUUUCUGUAAAGAGCUGCUGAAGUUGAAUCUUCAUGUUCUGUAUGUGUUCCUUGGAGAAUUUUAAAGCACCGUGCAAGUUGUGAAAGAUUCUUUUGCUGAUGUAUUGCUGCUGGGUCUGGUUUUUGUCGCGUCUGAGGUACACACAGGUUGAAUUCCGCUCUAAAUGUCACAAACUGAUAUAGAGACCAAACUAGUGGUUACCAGUGGGGAGAGGGGCAAGAUUGGGGUAGGGGAUUAAGAGGUACAAACUGUUGUGUAUAAAAUAAGCUACAAGGAUUUAUUACACAACAAAGGGAAUAUAGCCAACAUUUUAUAAUAACUAUAAAUGGAGUAUAACCUUCAAAACUUGUGAAUCACUAAAUUGUACACCUGUAACAUAAUAUUGUACAUCAACUAUACUUCAAUAAAAAAAUCCUUCCCCCGCCCCCCAAAAUUUAAAUGUCACAUAGCAUGUGGGAGUCACAGCUCUGAAUUCAAUUCGAGACUGUGUCCUGAUUCUUUUUGUCUCCUGGGAGCUACAGUGAGUGCAGGCUUGCAGACAAGGCACAAAGCAGGACUGGCAUGGGCCCUUCUCUCUGAGUCCUGUAGGGAGGGUGGUCCCUUUCCAGGACACCUGAAGGAAGUAAUAGGAGUAGAUUACAGGAAGGGUAGGUUAAAGGGAGGAGUAGAUUACAUCCAGCUGGUGCUCAGAGAUGUUUCCCUGUGGUGUGUUGGGAAUUAUGAUAACAUCAUGUUAUCUCAUGGCUCAUUUAUUUUCUUGCUCUCUUCCAACUGUUCCUUUGCCAGAGAGAACUGCAUCAAAGAGGAAGGAACAAUCCCAGGUCUCUUGCCAUUGGAGCUCCAGGUCUCUGGAACAUGGAAACCAAGAAGCAGGCUCUGGAGAGUGGAGGUGGAGGUAGGUACUUGGGAGCCCAGGUAUCCAUCUGAAGCUCCUCAUCAGAGCUUGGACAGUCUCAAGAAUGAAGAACCACUGGAUCUUCUGCUUCUCCAGUUUAGGAAGAUCAGAGAAUAAAUAAAACUGCUGGGCUUCGCUGGUGGCGCAGUGGUUGAGAGUCUGCCUGCUAGUGCAGGGGACACAGGUUUGAGCCCUGGUCUGGGAGGAUCCCCCACGCCGCGGAGCAACUGGGCCCAUGAGCCACAACCACUGAGCCUGCGCAUCUGGAACCUGUGCUCCGCAACAGGAGAGGCCGCGAUAGUGAGAGGCCCGCGCACCGCGAUGAAGAGUGGCCCCCACUCGCCGCAACUAGAGAAAGACCUCGCACAGAAACGAAGACCCAACGCAGCAAAAAAAAAAAAAGAUUAAUUAAUAAACUCCUACCCCCAACAGCUUUAAAAAAUAAGUAAAUAAAAUAAAAUAAAUAAAUCUGGUUUAAAAAUAAAAAAAAUAAAAAUAAAUAAAACUGCUGAUGCUCCAGAAACCUAGGAGGGGUGACCAUGGAGACUUUUUCCUCCUCAAGGCGGGAGGAAAUUGUUGAGAGCUUAUGAAGGGUGGGGAAGAAUCUAAGUCGGGUGUGGAGAGAGGAAAUGUGAGGUGGAUGAAGAGCUGCGUCCAGUGAAAAGAAACCAGUCUAAGGGGUCAGACAUUCCUGAGGUCCAGGUGGGUAGUCAGAGCGCCCAGGCAGGCCCCACCUUUCUUAAUGCUUCUCUUCUCCUGCAGCUCUGCGUUCUCAAGCCUCAGCCCUUUCCCAAGACGGGCAAGACAAAACCAAGUUUCAGGUGGGUCGAGUUCUCUUUUCUCUCCAGAAAUAACAACGUAAGGCAUCAGAGAGUAAACGUACGUCCCUCCCUUGGUAAAAGGAAAAAGAGGGGGAAAAACAUAUUAGGUGAGCACAGUACAUUACUCAGUGCAUUUAUGCCCAAAAUACCUGUGUGAGAGAGGUGGUAUGAUUCUGCUUUAGAGAUGAAGAAAUGAGUGGUGAAUCCUGGAUUUGAGCCCAGGUCUGUAGGACUCUGUAAUGUGCCUGUUUGCUCUACAUACGGCCAGUCAAUAAUGGUUUCAUCUCAGGGCCCUGAGCCCACAUUAUGUAGAGAAGUGACUCCAAAUAAUGAAUCCUCCUUUUCUGCCCAGGUUUUUCUCCUCAGUGGGACAUUUCUUCUUAUUCAUUUCCAGAUGUUGUAUUCUCCACGUAAUACACGCUACCAAAACUUAUACUAUGAACAAAGUUAAAAGACAGCAUAUUGGGUGAAAAAAGCUUCAUGCACAACAAAAUUUUAAUAUCCUUAUUUUAAAAACAGGAGCUGGGAAUAAAGACCUGAGCCUUCAUGUUCAGGAAGGGAGAAAAGAGGAAAAACAAAUGACCAAUAAUCAUAUGAAAAGAUGACCAGCCUCUAGUAAUCAAAGUGAUGCAGAUCGAAACAAGAUGUGAUUCUUUUCCUAGCAGAUGACCAAAGAUUUGAAAGAUCGGUGUUCACUGUUAGCUAACAUAUGGAGAAAUGGGUACAUCCACACAACUGCAGGGGCAUUUCAGCCCUUGUAGAAGUUCUGCAAACCUCUGCUCCAGUAUUUCCCACUCCAAGAAUUCUAAGUCAGAGCAAGUGUUCAAAGGAUGAUCAUCACAGCAUUGUUUGUAACAGUGAAAAAGAAAAAGAUGGUGGCGUGGACUCCAUGUCCAUCCAUUGCAUUGGUGUUGGAUCAGUGGAUUAUCGUGGUUUCAUUCGUCCUCUUGUCUCGACCCUGUGCUGCUAUCAAGUGAGAUAAAGUGGGUGAAAAUAUUAGGACAUGGAAAUAUGUGUGUGCACGCUCUCUCUCUCUCAUUAUAUGUACACGUGUAUAUUGUAACUUAUCUUUAAAUUGGGGGAAAAGAAGUCAAAGUGAAUGCAGAAUUUUAAGUACUUUUUUCCAUACAUGAUAUUAUUUUAUAAAGCUUUCUCUAAUGAAGAGAGAUUAUAGAAAAAAGUUUGCAGGAAUGCCCUGGCGGUCCAGUGGUUAGGACUUGGUGCUUUCACUGCCGUGGCCCCGGGUUCAAUCCCUGGUCAGGGAACUAAGAGGGUUUGGAGCAAGAAGACCACAACUUAAUGACUGGCACAAAAGCUUCCAACGUGGCUCUUCUUCCAGGGGUCGUUUGUGCAGAUGAUGAAUGUGGCAUGUGCUUGAAGUUUUAGGAAACUGUGACCUUCAAGGACGUGGCUGUGGUCUUCACCAAGGAAGAGCUGGCGCUGUUGGACUCCACCCAGAUAAACCUGUACCAAGACGUGAUGCUGGAGAACUUCAGGAACCUGGUCUCUGUGGGUGAGGACAGCGACCUCCCUGUAAGUAAGCAUCAAACCACUGGUCCUGUUUUCUCAAGUGGUCAGCUUCAAACCAGGUAGAAUAUUCCAGUUGGAGCACAAAGGGAAACUUUGGCCACCAGAGAGAAAUCUCCUAAGAGAUGCACGUGCAGGUGGGAACCUGCAGUUCAUGAGUUUUAGCAGAUAACUGUGAGCCGGUGGUACCCUGUAAGGUGCUGGUGAGGGAGCCCUUGUCAACGCUGCGCCCCCUGCCCUGUGGGUAUCUGAUGCAGUUGGCAAGCCUACCCUGACCUCCUCACACGUUUAGGCUCUCAUUCUCUCCUCAUAUUUCUCAGAGUGAGAUUGAGAAAAUUCACACAUUACCAAGGCCUUGGUCCCUUGGUUGCCUCUAGAGCGAAACCAAUGUUUUGGACAAACUAGUGUUAAAGGAACCAAAUUAGGAUCUGGUUGGUGGUCAAUGCAAUAUAAGUGUCUGCUGAUUUGCUUCCGUGCUGAUCAAUAUCUAACCUAAUUUCAAUUUCUCAGAGCCCCAUAUACAGAUAUGUAUUACCUCAGUUUAGUUUGUGAGAUAGUUGCUAUCAUUGCCCCCCUUUUACAGAGGAAACAACUGAGGCACAGAGUGGGUAAGUAACUUGUCCAGGGCCACCCAGCUUGUCAGAGGAACUAGGAUUUGAACCUUCCCAAUCUGGCUGUAGACCCUGUGCUUGUAAUAACCAGGUGACACUUAAGUACCACUAUGUCCAUAGAUUAUAAACAGGGCUCCUUGGGCUAAAUCUGCAGGAUGCAACCCCAUUGGUGAGUCCUGAAAUCAAGUGACCAUGUCAUAACUAGCAGUUUUUGAAAAGCAAAAUAGAUUAACGGACUAGAACACAAAAGGAUUUAUCAGAGUAGAUUGCACCUGGUAAGGUAAAUCUCAGCUGAUAAAACGAUUUUAGUUUAUGGUAUGUGUCUACGUGUAGGUACUGGGUCACAGUGUAAAUGCUUUUCUUACUAUGGGUACAGUCAAAACUGGUGGAAAACUGCUGCUUUAAACCUGUUUCCCUUUUCUCUGACACCACCUUAUGAACCAGAGUCACUGUCAGUAAAAUGACUCAGAAAAUUACCUUGAACCAGAAGCAGUGUCCAGACGGUUUUAACCAUGGUUUUUGUGACAUUUUGAAGCCUAUUUUUGGGUGCCAAGGGUGUGACCAUCCUCUUCUGCCUCAAACCCCUGUUUCUUAUGUCCCUUUAGUACAGUCUUGCUUCCCUGGGUGCCAGGCCAUUGACAGUUUCAUGCUGCCAAUUCUCAUAGCCAUGGCUGUUUGAGAUUCUGCAGUAACCUCAAAGGGGAGAAGUUAAGGAAUUGGAUGGCAGGAUCUUGGUGGACUUUGUCUCUUCAUGAAGCAGCCAGGGAACCUCAGGAAAGAUAAAAAGGAUGUCUCAUAUUUCACAAUGUUAUCCCCGUUUCAAUCCCCACUGCAGCUGUAGGCCCACCCUGUACAGUUGUGAAGGUUGUACACAAACAUACAUGAUAGUUCUAUCCCAUAUAACAGUGAUGUAAGGGAAGGGACAUCGUUAGGGAAUAGGACUUGUUACUUGUUUCUGCAACCUUUUACAGGAUCCUGGAAGGUCCCUGUGAUCGUUUGUGCCUCUCACCAUGUCCAGAACUCCAUUAUUAUGCAUAUUACAUGAAUCAUAUGGGAGCAUUCCCCAUGCCUUCUGUAGUAAAAUGAUUAAAGGCUUUUUAUCAACUACUCUUAUAACCGAGAGGUGAAUUUCUUCCUUUGUAAACUAUUUCCAAGAUUUCUUUUGAUUUCCCUGCAAUACCUGGUUUUUAAUUAGCAGCUCACCGAUUAGAAUUACUGGGUUUCUAAUUGUUUCCUAUAUGACUAGGAGCCAGUGGCAACUUCUCAUCCCAUCCUACUUCAUUUUCUCAAAGCCUUUGGAUAGAUGAUCUACUUGUUCACUUAGCCAAAUUCUCUUUCUCCUCAUAGGAGACAGGAUUAUAAACAACAUUGGGACGAACCUUCAGGAAAAAGGGUUGAGUUACCUGUCACCAGAAGUGCUCUACUUUUGGCAGAUUUGGAAACGAAGGAUCAGUGAAUUGAGUGUGAGUCAGGAUUAUGUCAUGCAUCUUCAAGGAGACUGUCCCCAGUAUUUAGAAGGAGAUGUUUCCCUCUGUGAAGAGUGGGCAGAAGUGUCUGAAAAUGAAAGGUAUGUAAUAAAUGCCAUUAAUUUAGAAAACCAAGACAUCACAGCUCGGAAAGGCCUGGCACAGGUCCUUACCCCAGGAUCUUGGAAGAAAGCCAACGUAAUGAUUGAGCCUGAGAAUUCUCAGGGA
rnacentral:lncRNA from 1 species